CUACGGGCCGCAGCAGUGGGGAAUAUUGCACAAUGGGCGCAAGCCUGAUGCAGCCAUGCCGCGUGUAUGAAGAAGGCCUUCGGGUUGUAAAGUACUUUCAGCGGGGAGGAAGGGAGUAAAGUUAAUACCUUUGCUCAUUGACGUUACCCGCAGAAGAAGCACCGGCUAACUCCGUGCCAGCGAGGCCGCGGUAAUACGGAGGGUGCAAGCGUUAAUCGGAAUUACUGGGCGUAAAGCGCACGCAGGCGGUUUGUUAAGUCAGAUGUGAAAUCCCCGGGCUCAACCUGGGAACUGCAUCUGAUACUGGCAAGCUUGAGUCUCGUAGAGGGGGGUAGAAUUCCAGGUGUAGCGGUGAAAUGCGUAGAGAUCUGGAGGAAUACCGGUGGCGAAGGCGGCCCCCUGGACGAAGACUGACGCUCAGGUGCGAAAGCGUGGGGAGCAAACAGGAUUAGAUACCCUUGUAGUC
rnacentral:rRNA from 1 species